rnacentral:lncRNA from 1 species
CUUAAUUAAAUCCAGCGUUCACAAUUUUUGGCCGUUUCUUUGUGCUCACCUACUUUCUUACCUAUUUUCUCCCUAUUUUUCUUCUAUAUGACAAUUCAUUAGCUAAUAGUAAUUUUUAACCUUCAAUAGAAAAAAAAUGUUGUUGGUGUUUUGGAAGAAAAACGUUGUAUAGCACCACCAAUGAAGGGAGAAAUAAUACCUGCAGAACUUGAGGAGGAUUGGGACAAAGUGUAUUCAUAUGAAGAAAAGAGACUAAAAUCACUUAAUGAAUGC